rnacentral:rRNA from 1 species
CCUACGGGAGGCAGCAGUGGGGAAUAUUGGACAAUGGAGGCAACUCUGAUCCAGCAAUGCCGCGUGUGUGAUGAAGGCCCUAGGGUUGUAAAGCACUUUCAACGGUGAAGAUGAUGACGGUAGCCGUAGAAGAAGCCCCGGCUAACUUCGUGCCAGCAGCCGCGGUAAUACGAAGGGGGCGAGCGUUAUUCGGAAUUAUUGGGCGUAAAGGGCUCGCAGGCUGCUUGAACAGUUAGACGUGAAAUCCCCGGGCUCAACCUGGGAACUGCGUUUAAUACUAGCAAGCUAGAGAAAUAGAGAGGAAAGUGGAACUCCCAGUGUAGAGGUGAAAUUCGUAGAUAUUGGGAAGAACACCAGUGGCGAAAGCGACUUUCUGGCUAUUUUCUGACGCUGAGGAGCGAAAGCGUGGGGAGCAAACAGGAUUAGAUACCCUGGUAG